rnacentral:lncRNA from 1 species
GUUUAUUUCUAUUUAAAAAAAAAAUCUUCAUUAAAAACUUGUACCUUAUAAUGGAGCGAUCAGACUUAACAGUACUUAUUGGACACCAACCUUUUCGUUUGGCGAAUGACUACGUACUGCGGAAACGGGUCAUCUUGACAAGAGUCGUCAUCUCGAAUUAUUCAGCGACGAAACAGCAAAAGAAAUUCAUCCAGGCUCAGCAGAGAUGUCCAGGCCACAGGUUUUCAACUUCGGUCAUACUGAGCCCUCUAGCAGUGAUACUGGAUACCAAAGUAGAAGCGACGUUGUGUGGAAAUCAAUCUCGAUUUGAAAUUGGUUUCAACUUCUCAAAGUGUUAAAAACAUAAAAUAAUCAACACUCUCAAUGCCGUGUGGAAUAUCGUCAUCAUACAUCACUGCAUUGCAGGCAAGCCGCAUUAUCGAGUCUCCAGAGAUAUCGAAAAGUUGCCGAGAUAUCGAAAAUCCCCAGAGGACGUAAGAAAAGUCAUUCAAGAUAAAACAGGACCCGUACUAUUAAGACAGGUUUUCAAGGUAGAUGACAGUGAUCUAAAAAAAGACAGGCUACUAUGAACAUCAAGUCACUGGAGUCGGAGGAUGCAUGGACUGGAAAGAUCAGCCAGACUAGUGAAUUUAUCUGUAAUUCACUAACACCAAAUUCAUCAACUGUUGUGAAAGGCAGAAAGAACGGAGCGUUUUGCAGGAUCUGACAGCCUCUUUUCAGCAAGGCCGGCUUCCAAGUGUUUUCCAAAGUGGAUCCUGUCCGUUAGACCGUUACCAAGGGGUGGAUAAAAUCACAGCAUGGAUCUAACGCCCACGUCUUUGACAUCUAGCAGUCUUUAAAGUAAGUCUCGUAUUAUUUUUUAAAUUCUGACCUUCGUGCAGAGUUUCCGUCAUUUACAUUUAAACAUGGCGUUAGUGAGUUAGCGUGGAAAAAUGCACGAAAAAGUCUUUAGUUUAUCAACGGUUAUUACAAGGGCCGUCAUUAAAAUUAUUGUUUAAAUUAUAUCAGUCGUUGCAGACGAAUCCAAAUUUUGCUUUCUGCUUCUUGAAGAAACGUCCAAACUAUUCUAAAGGACUUGAAUGCAGGUGCCAUGUGGGUCUUUUGGGGGUAGGCUCGAUUUUGCACGACGAAUU